AUCUGAGGCACCAGAGAGAGGUCUGAACGGGAAGCGUGGGAGUCUGUAGAGGGAAGAAGGCCUGGGAAACCAGGAGGACGGUGAGAUCCCCAGGGAAGCAAUAAAGUGAGAGGGAAGCUGAGGAAGUCCUAGAAACAGGAAGUCUUCUGAGGUCCAGGGAGAUCACAAGAUCAGUGCUUAGAAGGCCAGACGCAGUGGCUCACGCCUGUAAUCCCUGCAAUUUGGGAGGCCAAGCCAGGAGGAUUACUUCAGGGUAGGAGUUCGAGACCAGCUUGGACAACAUAAU
rnacentral:lncRNA from 10 species